rnacentral:lncRNA from 1 species
CAGAAGACCCAAACAUACAACUUAAUGAUGACCAAACCGGGCAGCCUUCUUCUGAUGGUUAAAACUGUUUUUCUAUCUUUUUGCUACCAUUAUCAUAUGUAUCUUUGUAUCAACUUUUGUAUCUUUGACAACUUAGUUAUCGGCUUUAAUUUGUAUCUUUUGCUACCAUUAUCAACUUUUGUAUCUUUGAAAACUAGUUCUGAUUUUCAGUUAAGUUUCUGUUAUGUUCUUUACACCCAUUAUAUUUGACAAUCAAACACAGAUAGAAUUCUUAAAAAUACAAACUAUUAAAGCCAAUAACAUGUCUUACAAACACAAGAUACUAAAGAAAUUAACAUAAGUCUUAAAAAACACACAAAAUAUUACAGCCGAUAACAUAAGUCUUACAUGAGUACAUAAGCAUAAUACACAAAAGAGAUAGGCAACCAGUAGCAUAAACAACAUCAAUACUUGGACAUCACCAUAAUACUUGCAAUGACCACAGAAAAACCAAUCGAUGAAGCCACAAGUACAUUACGAAGAACAGCACUUCUCUCCCUUAGAAUCAACACAUCUCUCUUCAAAGCUUUAACUUCUUCACUUUUUUCAUUCAUUCUCUCCACUAAUUCACUCGAAAUCUCCAAAUUUUCAGAGUCAUGAGUUAGAGGUCUUACCUUCUCCCUCAACUUCGCGAUUUCCUCUUUUUUCUCUCGGAUUAUAUCCCUAGCUUCCAGAAGUGCUAGAUGCUGCCCACCAUGAGGAUCCUCCACAUCAUACCAUCGAAAAAAGUUGCAGGACUCGUACCCAUUACCAACGCGACGUCUUUUGCAACAUAGGAAUCUUCACCCUGGAUUCUCUCGGGUCAAAGCUCUCUUGAUCUUCGUUGGGCGAUUACAUUGGCAAGCAACACCAUUGUAUUUUGAUGUUGAAAUCGAACUCUGAGACAUUUUUCUUCUCUCUCCCUCCGCGAAAACCUCUGUCUAUUUUUACUCUCAU